GUGAUAUAUGCUAGACCGGGAUACGAAGUUGAUCUUGAUUCUCUUGUCCAAGAUGUUAUUCGGCUAAACUCCUCAGUAAAAGAUACGUGCUCGGACUUGUGCGAGAAAUCUGAUGAUACUGUACAGUAUACAACUGGACAAAGCCGGGCCUCUGUUGAUAAAAGGUGGUCUAGACUAUUGGAACUAAAGAAAUCAAAUUUAUGAUUCAUGGCAUAAAAUAAGAAGUUUCAUAUGUAGAAUAAUCGUCAGUUUUGCUUACUGAUUGUAUGUAUA